AGUUAUUAGUUUAGGAAACACCGGAUUUUGAAAGUCUGCAUAAAAUGUUCGAUUCAUUUAAUAGCUU
rnacentral:tRNA from 1 species